AGAGUUUGAUCAUGGCUCAGGACGAACGCUGGCGGCGUGCUUAACACAUGCAAGUCGAACGGAGCACCCUUGAAAGAGACUUCGGUCAAUGGAGAGGAAUGCUUAGUGGCGGACUGGUGAGUAACGCGUGAGGAACCUGCCUUCCAGAGGGGGACAACAGUUGGAAACGACUGCUAAUACCGCAUAACGUAUUGGGGCCGCAUGACCCUGAUACCAAAGAUUUAUCGCUGGAAGAUGGCCUCGCGUCUGAUUAGCUGGUAGGUGAGGUAACGGCUCACCUAGGCGACGAUCAGUAGCCGGACUGAGAGGUUGACCGGCCACAUUGGGACUGAGAUACGGCCCAGACUCCUACGGGAGGCAGCAGUGGGGAAUAUUGGGCAAUGGACGCAAGUCUGACCCAGCAACGCCGCGUGAAGGAAGAAGGCUUUCGGGUUGUAAACUUCUUUUAAGGGGGAAGAGGAGAAGACGGUACCCCUUGAAUAAGCCACGGCUAACUACGUGCCAGCAGCCGCGGUAAUACGUAAGUGGCAAGCGUUGUCCGGAUUUACUGGGUG
rnacentral:rRNA from 1 species